ACAGACAGGUAGAGACACAGACCACAGGUGAGACACUGUGGACAGACAGGUAGAGACACAGACCACAGGUGAGACACUGAGGAUGGACAGGUAGAGACACAGACCACAGGUGAGACACUGAGGAUGGACAGGUGAGACACUGAGGACGGACAGGUAGAGACACAGACAACAGGUGAGACACUGAGGACGGACAGGUAGAGACACAGACCACAGGUGUGACACUGAGGACGGACAGGUAAAGGCACAGAGACCACAGGUGAGACACUGAGGACGGACAGGGAGAGACAGAGACCACGGGUGAGACACUGAGGACAGACAGGUAGAGACACAGACCACAGGUGAGACACUGAGGACGGACAGGGAGAGACACAGACCACAGGUGUGACACUGAGGACGGACAGGUAGAGACACAGACCACAGGUGAGACACUGAGGAUGGACAGGUAGAGACACAGACCACAGGUGUGACACUGAGGACGGACAGGUAAAGGCACAGAGACCACAGGUGAGACACUGAGGAUGGACAGGGAGAGACACAGACCACGGGUGAGACACUGAGGACAGACAGGUAGAGACAGAGACCACUUUGACUCUGCCUACUGCUAUUUAAGCAAGUACAGGUGAGUCAGAUGUGUACAGGUAAACCAGAUCUGUACAGGUGAGUCAGGUGUGUACAGGUGAGUCAGAUGUGUACAGAUGAGUCAGAUGUGUACAGAUGAGUCAGAUGUGUGCAGGUGAGUCAGGUGUAUACAGGUGAGUCAGAUGUGUACAGGUGAGUCUGGUGUGUACAGGUGAGUCAGAUGUGUACAGGCGAGUCAGGUGUGUACAGAUGAGUCAGAUGUGUUCAGGUAAGUGAGGUGUACACAGGUGAGUCAGAAUUUUACAGGUGAGUCAGGUGUGUACAGAUGAAUGAGAUCUGUACAGGUGAGUCAGAUGUUUACAGGUAAGUCAGGUGUACACAGAUGAGUAAGAUGUGUACAGAUGAGUCAGGUGUGUUCAGGUAAGUGAGGUGUACACAGGUGAGUCAGAAUUUUACAGGUGAGUCAAAUGUGUACAGGUGAGUCAGAUGUUUACAGAUGAAUGAGAUCUGUACAGGUGAGUCAGAUGUUUACAGAUGAAUGAGAUCUGUACAGGUGAGUCAGAUGUUUACAGGUAAGUCAGGUGUACACAGAUGAGUAAGAUGUGUACAGGUAAGUCAGGUGUGUACAGGUGAGCCAGAUGUGUACAGGUGAGUCAGAGGUGUACAGGUGAGUCAAAUGUGUACAGGUGAGUCAGAGGUGUAUAGGUGAGCCAAAUGUGUACAGGUGAACCAGAUGUGUACAGGUGAGUCAGAUGUGUACAGGUGAGUCAGAGGUGUACAGGUGAGUCAGAUGUGUACAGGUGAGUCAAAUGUGUACAGGUGAGUCAGAGGUGUACAGGUGAGUCAGAGGUGUAAAGGUGAGUCAGGUGUGCACAGGUGAGUCAGAUGUGUACUGGUGAGUAAGAGGUGUACAGGUGAGUCAGAGGUGUAAAGGUGAGUCAGGUGUGCACAGGUGAGUCAGAUGUGUACUGGUGAGUAAGAGGUGUACAGGUGAGUCAGAGGUGUAAAGGUGAGUCAGGUGUGCACAGGUGAGUCAGAUGUGUACUGGUGAGUAAGAGGUGUACAGGUGAGUCAAAUGUGUCCAGGUGAGUCAGGUGUGUACAGGUGAGUCAGGUGUGUACUGGUGAGUCAGAUGUGUACUAGUGAGUAAGAGGUGUACAGGUGAGUCAGAUGUGCACAGGUGAGUCAAAUGUGUCCAGGUGAGUCAGGUGUGUACUGGUGAGUCAGGUGUGUACUGGUGAGUCAGGUGUGCACAGGUGAGUCAGGUGUGUACUGGUGAGUAAGAGGUGUACAGGUGAGUCAGAUGUGUACAGGUGAGUCAAAUGUGUCCAGGUGAGUCAGGUGUGCACAGGUGAGUCAGGUGUGUAUAGGUGAA